rnacentral:lncRNA from 1 species
AGUAAGGGCUGCACCAUGCCCACUAUGAAAUGGCCGAGAGUGUCCAUCUGAUUCUCCUCGGAUUCAAAUUCGUCUCCAGCCAUAGACAGUGACUGAGAGCCUCUGAAGUGUUGGGCUUGCGCACGGUGCUACGAGAUUUCCUUGAAUGCUUCGAUUUGGGAGGGGAGAUGGGUGCUAAAGAGGUAUUAUGUGUAUAUUCAGUAUCUGGAUGGUCUUUAGAGGGGUCAGAUUGGCGGGAUUUAGUGUCCCCAAUUAGAGCCCGAAGGCGCCUUACUUCUGCUGUAAGUGCAGUGACAGCAGUUUCUACAGCAUGGAAGCAUUUGUCCCAAUCAGUUGCUGGAGCUGCUGGGGCUCGAGAGGCAGCAGAGUGGGUAACCCGACGGUGUGGUCAGCUAGUAGUGAUUACGUGGAGGUGAUUGUGCGGAGGGCUGAGCCUGCCAUUCCGCGAUUGAGACGUAAGAUUCCGUUAGUACGGCUGGCUUUCUUGCCACUACAGAGAAUGAUAUGUGAUCUUGUGC